CCUCACCCCAAGUGUCCAAGACAGGCUGACAGAGUCUUUAGGAACGGCUCAAACCAUCAGCAAACGCUGCCCUGCUCUGCGGGCUCAGGGCAGCAGGAGCCCCCGCAGCUGGGAAGUGCACAGGGCCUUCCACAGAAGCUGGCACUGCCUCCUUGAGACAUGUCCCAGCUGGUGGCCAUCCUAAACCCGCAGGUGUGGCACGCACAAGGAAUGUGUGGGUCAGGGCACGAAUGCUGCUCUGACCCCUGGGGCCCGGGGAGCGCUGACACCAGCAGGAGAAUCAGGACCAUGAAGAGGAAAAAUCACAAAUAUUCUUUCUGCCCUCCGUAACCAAAGCUGUGCCAAACCAGAGAUGCUGCCUUCAAAGUGACUCAAAUUCCAACCUAAACCACUCACCUUCCAGACAACUCCUUCCCCAACACCCCACCAACACCAACACCCCCAAACUCCGGCACAGAAGCCCUCAACACCCCGUCAGGGGCCCCAGCUGCCCCCGUCCCUCUGCAGAGCUUUCCCACCCUCCAGCAGAUGCCCGGGUUCCCUGCACGUGCCAUGGGAUGGCACUCAGGAGGAUCUGCUCCGAGGCCUUCCCCUGGAGCGAGCUCAGGCUGCCAGGCCUACGGGUCCUGGAUCAUCCUUCCCACCGAGCCUUCCUGUGCACGGCUGUUCCAUCUGCACCUUUGGGCUCAGCUCGGACUUCUCCACCUAACCAGGAGUGUUGCAGCGCGCGUGUGCGGGGCGUGCUGGACGGCUGUGGCACAGGCGUGACUGUCCCCCUGCGAGCUCUGCAAUUCCCAGUUAUCGGCAGGUCUGGCGCAGGGACAGACAGCGAUGACACGGGUCUGGGUGUAGAACAAGAUGGAUUUAUUCCUGGGCUCCCCAGCAAGACUGGGGGGCGGGGGUGAACAGAAGUUUUUAUACAGCAACUCAGGAGGCGGGUGUAGGAAAGUGAACCAGUGAGGAUAUGGUAAGGGAGGAAUAUAAGGUGGGGCAAAUAGCUUAUGAGCCUAUCAGGGAAAACAGGGGAGGGGAAUAAUACAAAGUAAGGAGUGGGGUAUCGAGGGCAGCAAGACAGACACUGAACUCUCCGGAGAAAGGGGUAGGGAUAGGGAGGAUUGACAGCUUGGAAGGGAGGAGCUUAGGGAAGAGCUUGGGAAAAUUGGCAACAGGGAAAGGGAGUGGAUUAGGCAGGAGAACAGGGGGCAAACAUGGAUUCAAAGCAAAACACACCACAAUAUCUCCCUGUGUCUUUUUACAAAAGGGAGGAGAGUUCUGGGGUUCAAAACAAAUUAAUGAAUCUAUUAUAUAACAUAUCGUAUACACAAUCUAUCAUAUAACAGAUUUUACCAUAUGACAAAUUAUUACAGCAACAGAAAAGAAUUCAAAAAUUAUCAGGAAAAAAUGAACUACUCAUGACCAUAAGGCAUGGGGUAAGGAUCUUCUUCACAUAAGAAACUUAAUAUAAAAUGUACAAAGUUAUUAUAUACGGAAUCAGGGUCCGGAGGAGGAAUUGCAGUGGAAUUAUCUUGAAGUAAGACUGGGCUUGAAGCAUGAAUCACCGAGGAAUCUGCAGGUUCUGGCUUUCUGGGGUUUGAAAGUGAUUUUGGAGGUCACUCCUCCUGUAGGAUGUGAUCAGCAAAUGGAGAUGUGGUCUUGCUCAUUUUAUUUUAUGCUACUGUGGGUAUUAACUGGACAGAAUGAUUCCUCUCUCUAUAAUAUAUAACUU